UGAUAAUUAGUUUAAAUUAAAACAAGUGAUUUCGACUCACUAAAUUAUGUGAUAACAUAAUUAUCAAUA
rnacentral:tRNA from 1 species